GAUGAACGCUGACAGAAUGCUUAACACAUGCAAGUCAACUUGAACUUCGGUUUGGGUGGCGGACGGGUGAGUAACGCGUAAAGAACUUGCCUCACAACUAGGGACAACAUUUGGAAACGAAUGCUAAUACCUGAUAUUAUGAUUAUAUGGCAUCGUAUAAUUAUGAAAGCUAUAUGCGCUGUGAGAGAGCUUUGCGUCCCAUUAGCUAGUUGGAGAGGUAACAGCUCACCAAGGCGAUGAUGGGUAGCCGGCCUGAGAGGGUGAUCGGCCACAAGGGGACUGAGACACGGCCCUUACUCCUACGGGAGGCAGCAGUGGGGAAUAUUGGACAAUGGACCGAGAGUCUGAUCCAGCAAUUCUGUGUGCACGAUGAAGUUUUUCGGAAUGUAAAGUGCUUUCAGUUGGGAAGAAAAAAAUGACGGUACCAACAGAAGAAGUGACGGCUAAAUACGUG
rnacentral:rRNA from 1 species